GGUUUCUCUUGGGGAUUAAUGGAAAACCAAGCGGAAGAACCCAAAUGGAGUGAAUAUCUCAAUAACCCUUUGCUAAUGGUGGCUGCUUUGCAAAAUCAAACGCCACAAUCUUUGUACAACAUGGAGAUAAAAUCAGAACCAUAUUUCUUGAAUUCAUCUAGUUCAUCAUCAAC